GGGGGAGAGAGCAAGCAAGAGAGGGAGAGAGCUAAGAGAGAGGGAGAGAGAGCGAUAGCUGUGAAGAGAGAACAAGCGAGAGAGAGUAUGUAUACUACAGAACCCACUGCCUUCUCUACUAUUCCCACAUCUCUGUGCUUGUGAACUGGAGCAAGGAGUGAAUCUCAGGAGCAUGUUUUGCGGGUGUAUUUUGGGACUAUCAGCUACAAUGUUGGCAUGAAAUUAAAUGAAAAAAGGCUUUGAAUCUGUCUGUCUUGGAGGUGGAAAAGAGCGUGGAAGCAUAGAAAAGCAAACUAUUUCAUAGACUGAAUUGGAUUUAACGCAACAAGGGAAAUGCUGUCAAACUGGAGUUACAAUUAAACCUUAAGGGACUGGCACUGAGGACACGACCCUGCUGCCCGUGGAUUGGAUACCUCGUGCUACCCAGAUCAGCCUGUUCAGACUCAUAGCUCCUCAGCGGGGCAAAUCACUUUGUGUAGUUCACUGGGGAAAGAGGAGGAAGCUGACUUUAUGGGUCCCUUUCAACAAGUUGGAAAUUGCAAAUUCAACAAUGAGAGAGAUUCCACCCUAAAUACAGAGAAUGCCAGACUUUGAUGACAAAAUUUGCCCACAAAGGACCACCGUGCCACCUUCCUGUUUAAGUGAGCACAGCACAAGGUUCACCAGCUGACCCCUAUCAAGACACCCAUGUCGACUGGAUUCCCACUGUAAAGAUGAGCAAUGCUGCAGCAGCAACAGUUUCUGCUUCUACUUCGUCCUUUCCCAGCUGUGAAAGGAGACAUCCCUCAGUUAUACGAGAUGGUUGUCGUAUGUUGUAUUUUGGACUAGCUGAAUGAUUCUGUUGUGCCAUUUGAGUAGAGAGCACCUUCACCUUGUCGUCAAGACAGAAGUGCCCCCUUAAAUCAUAUGAAUGUAUACAAUGUAUUUUGAAAAGUGUUAAAGACUAUUGUUCAUGACAUUGUAAACAUUCUGUAAUUUAAUAAAACACUACAUUUUUGUAUGGGUGAAAUUAAAAGUAUUGUUCUCUCUGCUUUACCUAGCCCCAUUGAAUAGAAAGUGUUUCUUAUAGCCCAACUAUUUUAUUUAUUUUACAAUUUAUACACAUUUAGCAUAGACAAUGUAAUUGUUGGGGUAGUCUUAAGCAAACCAUCUUCAUUAACACUGUAGCACCUCUCAGUGCCACUCAGACCUUCUACGAGAAAAGUAUCUGGCAUUGAAAUUGAUAGUAAUAGUUGUAUGUUUUAAGCUAAGGAUCCCAUCAUCUCCUUCCAGACAUUUCACCACCUAGAUUACAAUGGUUGGAUUUGAACUAAACAAUUUAAUGUCAGCACAAGGCAUGUACAAAAUCCAGUAUAAUGAUUAGCCUCAUAUACAUUGUCAACUGGUAUCAUUUUUAAAUUGAGAACAUAUAGCUGAACAAUAUGUAAACCAUGUGUGAGUUAAGCUUCUCUGCUUCAGAUGCACAAUGGCAAGGGCUGCAUUGCAAAUGCCCAUAAGGCUAAUGCCAUCAUACUGUAGGCCAGUGGUUCCCAACACCAGUCCUCGCGUACCUCCAACAGUACAUUUUAUUCUAGUCCUGGACAAACACACCUGAUUCAACUUAUCAACUAAUCAUCAGGCCCUCUGAGUUGAAUCAGGUACAAUGCAUUCGGGAAGUAUUCAGAACCCUUGACUUUUUAACAUUUUGUUAUGUUACAGCCUUAUUCUAAAAUGUAUGAAAUAUUUUUUCAAUCUACAAAUAUUUUUUCAAUCUCAUCAAUCUACACACAAUACCUCAUAAUGACAAAGCAAAAACAGCUUUUUAGACAUUUUGGCAAAUUUAUAAAAAAUAUAUAUAUAAUAAAUACCUUAUUUACGUAUGUACCCUUUGCUAUGAGAAUCAAAAUUAGGUCAGGUGCAUCCUGUUUCCAUUGAUCAUCCUUGAGUUGUUUCUACAACUUGAUUGGAGUCCACCUGUGGUAAAUUCAAUUGAUUGGACAUGAUUUGGAAAGACACGCACCUGUCUAUAUAAGGUUGACAGUGUAUGUCAGAUCAAAGCCAUGAGAUCGAAGGAAUUGCCUGUAGAGCGCUGAGACAGGAUUGUGUCGAGGCACUAACUCGUAUCUAAAGGAUAGACAUGUUAGUAACAUGUAGGCUGUUUUUUACUUAAGCAUAAUUUUAGGUGAACCAAAAAAAGCCAAUACCAUACCUUGAUCCCUGAUCUAUGGGGGAACAGGCUUAUGUUCCAGCCCAGAAAUAGUACACUUGAUUAUUAACUAAUAAGAUUUGAUACAUUGAAUCGGGUGUGUUCAUUCUGGGCUGGAACAGAAGCAUGCACACCCAGCAGGGUUGGCCUGCUCCAGUUUUAAUAGGUUUAUACAUUUUUGUGUGACUUUUAAACUGUAUUUUUGUUCACCAAAUGUGCUAACAUAUAAUUAUACUCAAAUAAGACAGUACUGAAUAUUAUGUUGCUAGUUAUAUAGCUCUGUCUUCAGUUUCUCACUAGGGAAUGGAACUGGAGAAUAUUUUCAUAAUGUCCUCCCACAGUUACCUGCCCUGUACAGAGUAGCCUUGUCUCCCUUCUCUGACAGCUGGAACUGCUGGCUAAUCCUUUCACCCUCUUCCGUGGCUGUUAGUUAGCUACCUAGCUACAAAUGCAUUUCGAGUUACAACGAUAAAUACAUCAUGAAGCUAAGCAGCUAAUAUGACGUUAGCAAGCUGGUGAUAUUUAAUUCACUUAGCUAGCUAUACAUUAUAUAAAGUUAUCUAACUAGUGAACAUUACAUAGCAGCUCAUGAGUUAGCCUGCACACUACAUUUCUGUAGAAAGCUAGCUAGCUAAUAAUCAUUUUUGAUCAUUUUCAAAACAUUUACUUUCUUGAAUAGGUUCUCCCAAUUCCUCUGUUUUCUGGGUCCUUAAAAAACGAAAUAAUGGGCAAUCUUCCGAAGUUUCCAGUGGUAGCAAAAGGCAGUCAGCCAUGUGGAUUAUUGGAUAACUUCCAACAGGGUGACUUUGGUCUUAAAACAAGGCGCCUGGUGCAUUUUGCUAGCUGAUUUUUUAUUUAUUUAUUUCACCUUUAUUUAACCAGGUAGGCUAGUUGAGAACAAGUUCUCAUUUACAACUGCGACCGCAAGCUCUCUAUAGAAAAUGACUAUCAAACAACAAUGGAACAUUCUAUUGGGUAUUUGGUUACCCUUCGCCAUUAGAUCAAAUGAUUUACCUAGACUGAUUAAAUAAUUUACCUAGACUAACUCAUAAAAAAAAACAAUGCUGCAAAGUGCAGAACUAUUUGUUUUAGGGAAAUUUGUCAUACUGGGAAAAAAAUACAAUUCCAAGAGAUCCAAAUCUGAUAGUGUAUUGGUUAUUUAAUUGCCACCAGUAAUAGUGUGCAAUACUCAGCAUGCUAAUAUGAAAGGUGUGCUCUGCCAUGUGUUGAGUUGCCACAGCAUCUUAGCACAAGGAUGUAGGUAAAUAUCUCCAAAAAAACCAUGGGUGAUUAUAAGCUCUUCUGUCCCUUGCUGUGGAGACUUGCUUCCAUUCAGCCGCAAGAGCAUUAGUGAGAUCCAGCACUGAUGUUGGGUGAUUAGGCCUGGCACGCAGUCGGUUGAGGUCAGAGCUCUGUGCAAACUGACUUGUUAGAAAGGUGACACGUUGAAAGUCAGAGGUCUUCAGUAAAGCCAUUCUGCUGCCAAUGUUUGUCUUUGAAGAUUUCAUGGCUGUGUGUUCAAUUUUAUAUACCUGUCAGCAACGGAUGUGGCUGAAAUAGCCAAAUUCACUCAUUUGAAGGUGUGUCCACAUACUUUGUAUAUAUAGUGUACAUGUCCGUACAUACACACAACAAGUAGCUCACAUGGGGGUGAGGCAUUAUUCCAUGAGGUGUUGCUUUAUUUGUUUUUUAUAAACCAGGUUUGCUGUUCACUUGCGCUAUAUUAGAUGGAAGGCAGUUCCAUGCACUCGUGGCUCUGUAUUCCAUGAAUUUGUUCUGGACCUGGGGACUGUGAAAAGACCUCUAGUGGCAUUUCUGGUGGGGAUAGUGUGUGUCAGUGCUGUGUGUAAAUUGACUAGUCAAACAAAUAGUCUAGACUAGAGAUUGCUCAGUGUGAUGACAUUAAGCUGUAAAACAUGAGUGCAUUCAUGAUUAGGAUACAUGUAUAAGCAAGAUGACAUUUUGUGGUUCCUCUGUCUACAUUCCACCCAUAUUGUAUAAUAAACAUGAACUCAAG